UUUGAAGUAAAAGUAAGCUAUGGAUUAAACAUGAUGUUGUAAAUCAACAGUUCAGUAGAAAAGAGUGAAAGUAUACCAUGAUAAAACAGUUCUGUAUCAAUAUAUGAAUUUAAAGCUGUAGAGAUAAAAAUGAAAUCAAUCAUCUUUUUAACACAAGAUAAUCUCUUUUUCAAACUAUUCAUUGUUUAAUUGGGUUUUUGAAUAAGACACCAUGCUAUAGCCGAUGAUCAGUCGCACUAUAGUCCAUAGAACCUAGUCUUUUUCAAGCUAGGCCACAUAAAUAUUACAAAAUCCGGUAUUCCGGGCUAAAGGAGCCACCUUUCACGCUGGGCCGGUGUCUGGGCCUCUUACGCAAACCUACCCAAUAUAGGUCUCAAAACUACAGCUUUAACAUUUUCAAGAAAAG
rnacentral:lncRNA from 1 species